rnacentral:rRNA from 1 species
UWGUKUUUGAUCCUGGCUCAGRGCGAACGCUGGCGGCAGGCUUAACACAUGCAAGUCGAGCGGGCGUAGCAAUACGUCAGCGGCAGACGGGUGAGUAACGCGUGGGAACGUACCUUUUGGUUCGGAACAACACAGGGAAACUUGUGCUAAUACCGGAUAAGCCCUUACGGGGAAAGAUUUAUCGCCGAAAGAUCGGCCCGCGUCUGAUUAGCUAGUUGGUAGGGUAAUGGCCUACCAAGGCGACGAUCAGUAGCUGGUCUGAGAGGAUGAUCAGCCACAUUGGGACUGAGACACGGCCCAAACUCCUACGGGAGGCAGCAGUGGGGAAUAUUGGACAAUGGGGGCAACCCUGAUCCAGCCAUGCCGCGUGAGUGAUGAAGGCCCUAGGGUUGUAAAGCUCUUUUGUGCGGGAAGAUAAUGACGGACCGCAG